GAGUCUUGCUUAUGUUUUAUCUUCAAAGUGUGGGUCUCUGGGAGCUUCAUAAAUAGCAUCCACCAGGAUUCUGAAUAAAUCGCAAAUUCAGUCACUCAACGAGAAACACUCAAUGUAUCAGGCACGGUGCUGGGCAGAAGGAGACCCCAGGGAAUGACACAGAUAUAAAGGGGGAAACUCAGCAUCUGCAAAGCCAGAAGAAGAGUCUUGCUUUUCACCGUUCAGUAAGAGCCAAUGAGAUCUUGAAGUGAACAGAUUUGGAAAAGUGACGUGAACAGCCAAGAUCAGCAAAUAGCAAGGAACACAAAGAAAAGCUAGCAAGAAAGUAGGAAAAUCAAUAUGAAAAUUGACCACUAAUAUAUCCAUAAGUGUAUAUAUUAUUUUAAACAACAGAUCUGAAUCUGUUGCACACCAGGGCUGCUGUGAUGCAUAGCUCUGGCGGGUGCAUUCUCAUUGUCAUCUGUCUGACUGACUGGGCAGAGCCCAGCUCCAGUGGCUACAUUCAAUGUUCAUGCACCCUCUGGAGCUGUGCCAGGCUGUGUACCUAUUUACACCCUAUAAUGUUCUAACUUUACUGGAAGAAAGGACUGAAACAGUA